rnacentral:lncRNA from 1 species
CUUCUAAAUGUGCAAAACUGACCAUACUAAACCAGAAAUGAGCUGCUUCAUAUAUUUCUAUUCAACAUAAAGCCUUGGGAGUUAGAGGAAGGUUGAUACUGAUAUUUUUACCUGAUGAGGGUUACUGAGGGUACCUGGGAAGGACCGACUGCAGCUCCUGAGCUAUAAAUCAGACUUUUACCAUGACUUUUUGUCUUAAGAGUGGCACAGAUGAAGAACAGUAAAAAUCUAUUUAGAGUCCUUAAGUUGCCAGAAUGGAAUCUGUAUGCAUUGAGUAAACAUGAGUAGUUAAAAGAUGCCAGUAAGAAUGUAAUCUCUUUCAAGAUGAGAGGCACGCUUUGUGUCUUGUGCAUCUUUUCCCAAACUAAUUUGGAGAGCCCAAAUAUCUAUUUCAUAUGUAGAAGAUAACCAUAACUAUUUGUUAUUUUCAGGAAAGGGUUGCUGGAAUAACAGAUGUGCCAGAUCUUAAAACCAGAAGUUUUGUCUUUCACCUUCAUCAUGUUUAGUAAGGAUAUGAGACUUGGUGGUUUUGAGACUCCUCCUGAAUCCCACGAAGAUAUUUUAGGUUGCUGAAGGGGAUGCAUUGGUUCUGACACUGAGCAACAGCUAAGGGAAGAGUAGAAAAGGAGAACUACUUCAGUCUCUUCCUCUCCAGGCUCAUUAGCAGAAGACACUGUCUUCGUGGUAUGUUCACUGAAAGAAUGAUUCCUCUACCCAAACCCUAAUUUUCCAGGCAGAUGGUGCCUAUGCAAAUGUUCUUGUUUUUAGAGGUAGCACUGCUCUUUGAUCUAGACUGUUCCAUUUCUCAGAUUUAUCAUCUGCAGGCUUAUGGUUUAGGAGAAUAAAUACUCUGAAUCAGAUCA